rnacentral:rRNA from 1 species
AAAUCUGCCUAUCAGAGGGGAAUAACAGUGAGAAAUCAUUGCUAAUACCGCAUAUGCCAUAAUUAUCGCAUGAUAAUAGUGGGAAAGGAGCAAUCCGCUGAUAGAUGAGCUUGCGUCUGAUUAGCUAGUUGGUGGGGUAACGGCCUACCAAGGCAACGAUCAGUAGCCGGACUGAGAGGUUGAACGGCCACAUUGGGACUGAGAUACGGCCCAGACUCCUACGGAAGGCAGCAG